rnacentral:rRNA from 1 species
UGGGGAAUCUUCCGCAAUGGACGAAAGUCUGACGGAGCAACGCCGCGUGUAUGAUGAAGGUCUUCGGAUUGUAAAGUACUGUCAUUGGGGAAGAACGGUUUUCUUGAAAAGGAUUGAGAAGACAUGACGGUACCCAAGGAGGAAGCCCCGGCUAACUACGUGCCAGUAGCCGCGGUAAUACGUAGGGGGCAAGCGUUGUCCGGAAUUAUUGGGCGUAAAGGGGCGCGUAGGCGGGCCUUUAAGUCCGGUGUGAAAGAUCAGGGCUCAACCCUGAGAGUGCAUCGGAAACUGGAGGCCUUGAGGACAGGAGAGGAAAGUGGAAUUUCCACGUGUAGCGGUGAAAUGCGUAGAUAUGUGGAGGAACACCAGUGGCGAAGGCGACUUUCUGGACUGUAACUGACGCUGAGGCGCGAAAGCGUGGGGAGCAAACAGGAUUAGAUACCCUGGUAGUCCACGCCGUAAACGAUGAGUGCUAGGUGUAGAGGGUAUCGACCCCCUUCUGUGCCGCAGUUAACACAAUAA